GUGACAAAUAUGUGAGUGCUGGUUUCAUGAAGGAUGCAGACGUUCUGAUGUAAAGAUCUUAAAGCUCUGAGUCAGCUUGGGCCCAUUCUCCUCUAUGCUGUCCAAUUACUAUUGUAUUUAGCAGAAGAAAAAAAGAAAAAAGAACACCUGUGCAGCAGAAGGAAGUACCGUAAUGGAGCAUGAGGAAGUAGUAGAGCAAUCUGGACAGUGAAUUAGUAGUGAUUACGGAAACAAAUGGUAUCAAUUAAAGCGGGGUGAGCAACGGCCAUAAUGUUUAAGGCACACUACAUGUCACAGCUCCUGAAUCUGCCUUCCAGCAGUAAUACAAACACUUCAGAGGAGCUCCACAGAUAUAAGCAGCAGUGAAAGAACAACAAGAAGCCCCACCUAGGUUAUUGAAGAGGUUUUACAUAAAUAUUUGUUAUAAAAACAAUUUCUAUUAAAUGUGAAGUUUGAACUGAGAAAAAAGAAUGCAGUUGGGCUCUACCACAGAAGUAAAAAGCUGACUCUUUAGAAUUCAUUAAAAGGAGUCCCUUUUUUUCAGCCCUAGGCUGAAAAACGCUCUUCAGAGCAUGCUGAGAUCUCUGUGAUAACACCAUAGUUCACCUCUUUGACUUCUGAUGUCUGCACUGCAAAA
rnacentral:lncRNA from 1 species